UACACGACCGUACCGCAAACCGACACUGGUGCGCGAGAUGAGUAUUCUAAGGCGCUUGAGAGAACUCAGGAGAAGGAACUCGGCAAAUUGACACCGUAACUUCGGAAGAAGGUGUGCCUUUAGUAGGUGAACCAUUUACUUGGGGAGCCCAAUGAGGCUGCAAAAAAUCGGAGGCUGCAACUGUUUAUUAAAAACACAGCACUCUGCUAAGACGAAAGUCGACGUAUAGGGUGUGACGCCUGCCCGGUGCUGGAAGAUUAAAUGAUGGGGUGCAAGCUCUUGAUUGAAGUCCCAGUAAACGGCGGCCGUAACAAUAACGGUCCUAAGGUAGCGAAAUUCCUUGUCGGGUAAGUUCCGACCUGCACGAAUGGCGUAAUGAUGGCCACACUGUCUCCUCCUGAGACUCAGCGAAGUUGAAAUGUUUGUGAUGAUGCAAUCUCCCCGCGGAAAGACGGAAAGACCCCAUGAACCUUUACUGUAGCUUUGUAUUGGGCUUUGAACAGAUCUGUGUAGGAUAGGUGGGAGGCUUUGAAGUGUGGUCGCUAGAUCGCAUGGAGCCAACGUUGAAAUACCACCCUGGUGUGUUUGAGGUUCUAACCUAGGUCCAUUAUCUGGAUCGGGGACAGUGCAUGGUAGGCAGUUUGACUGGGGCGGUCUCCUCCCAAAGUGUAACGGAGGAGUUCGAAGGUACGCUAGGUACGGUCGGACGUCGUGCUAAUAGUGCAAUGGCAUAAGCGUGCUUAACUGCGAGACUGACAAGUCGAGCAGAUGCGAAAGCAGGACAUAGUGAUCCGGUGGUUCUGUAUGGAAGGGCCAUCGCUCAACGGAUAAAAGGUACUCUGGGGAUAACAGGCUGAUACCGCCCAAGAGUUCAUAUCGACGGCGGUGUUUGGCACCUCGAUGUCGGCUCAUCUCAUCCUGGGGCUGUAGCCGGUCCCAAGGGUAUGGCUGUUCGCCAUUUAAAGAGGUACGUGAGCUGGGUUUAAAACGUCGUGAGACAGUUUGGUCCCUAUCUUCCGUGGGCGCUGCAGAUUUGAGGAAGCCUGCUCCUAGUACGAGAGGACCGGAGUGGACGAACCUCUGGUGUAUCGGUUGUCACGCCAGUGGCAUUGCCGAGUAGCUAAGUUCGGAAGAGAUAACCGCUGAAAGCAUCUAAGCGGGAAACUCGUUUCAAGAUUAGAUCUGCCGGGGCCUUGAGCCCCCUAAAGAGUCGUUCAAGACCAGGACGUUGAUAGGUCAGGUGUGGAAGCG
rnacentral:rRNA from 1 species